rnacentral:rRNA from 1 species
GGUUAAGUUAAUAAGGGCGUAUGGUGGAUGCCUUGGCACUAGGAGCCGAUGAAGGACGGGACUAACACCGAUAUGCUUCGGGGAGCUGUAAGUAAGCUUUGAUCCGGAGAUUUCCGAAUGGGGGAACCCAACAGCGAGAGCUGUUAUCUGCUGGUGAAUACAUAGCCAGUAUGAAGGUAGACGUUGUGAACUGAAACAUCUCAUUAGCAACAGGAAUAGAAAGAAAAAUCGAUUCCGUUAGUAGCGGCGAGCGAAAACGGAAGAGCCCAAACCAAGAAGCUUGCUUCUUGGGGUUGUAGGACAGAACUUUGGAGUUACCAAGUUAUAAUAUAGGAGAAUCAGCUGGGAAGUUGAGCUAGAGAGGGUGAUAGCCCCGUAUCCGAAAUAUUGUAACCUCCGUUCUGGAUCCUGAGUACGGCGGAGCACGUGAAAUUCCGUCGGAAUCCGCGAGGACCAUCUCGCAAGGCUAAAUACUCCCUAGUGACCGAUAGUGAACCAGUACCGUGAGGGAAAGGUGAAAAGCACCCCGGAAGGGGAGUGAAAUAGUACCUGAAACCAUAUGCUUACAAUAAGUUAGAGCCCGUUAAUGGGUGAUAGCGUGCCUUUUGUAGAAUGAACCGGCGAGUUACGAUACCAUGCAAGGUUAAGGU